AUGUAGCUCAGCUGGUAGAGUGCCUGCCUCGUGUGCAUGAAUCCCUGGGUUUAAUGCCCAGCAU
rnacentral:tRNA from 1 species